rnacentral:rRNA from 1 species
UACGUAGGGUGCGAGCGUUAAUCGGAAUUACUGGGCGUAAAGGGCGCGUAGGCGGCCCACUAAGUCGAACGUGAAAUCCCCGAGCUCAACUCGGGAACUGCGUCCGAUACUGGCGGGCUUGAAUCCGGGAGAGGGAUGCGGAAUUCCAGGUGUAGCGGUGAAAUGCGUAGAUAUCUGGAGGAACACCGGUGGCGAAGGCGGCCUUCUGGACGGAUACUGACGCUGAGACGCGAAAGCGUGGGGAGCAAACAGG